rnacentral:rRNA from 1 species
GAUGAACGCUGGCGGCGUGCCUAAUACAUGCAAGUCGAGCGAACGGACGAGAAGCUUGCUUCUCUGAUGUUAGCGGCGGACGGGUGAGUAACACGUGGAUAACCUACCUAUAAGACUGGGAUAACUUCGGAAAACCGGCGCUAAUACCGGAUAAUCUUUUGAACCGCAUGGUUCAAAAGUGAAAUACGGUCUUGCUGUCACUUAUAGCUGGAUCCGCGCUGCAUUAGCUAGUUGGUAAGGUCACGGCCUACCAAGGCAACGAUGCAUAGCCGAACUGAGAGGCGGGUAGCCCACACGGGAACUGGAACGGGGUCCAGGCGACUGAGGUACGCAGCAGUAGGGAAUCGUCCGCAAUGGGCGGAAGCCUGGCGGAACGACGGCGCGUGAGUGAUGAAGACGUUGGGUGCGUGAAACUCUGUUAUGAGGGAAGAACAUAUGUGGAAGUAACUGUGCACAGCUUGACGGUACCUAAUAAGAAAGCCACGGCUAACUACGUG